AAUCUGUUAUUUUCUUUUGUGUGUCAGUCUGGUUGUGACACAGGCAGCACACCAGGGGGCGCUCUCACACACACACAACCACACCAGAACUAUGCCUUGAACUGCAGGUGGGCCAAACACACACAGCAUGUUGACAGGCUGUGUCUCAGCAGCACGCUGAUGACAUCUGAACUGUUUGUCACGUCUUUUAUUCCUGGACACACUCCCGCACGCACACACACACACACAGUGAGGACACUCAGAGGGCAGAGCUGCUCACACCCAAGUCAUGUAGCUUUGACUGCAGACUGCCUGACACACACACACACACACACACACAGACAGACCCCGCUGUCUCCCAGGUCUGCAUUCCCAUCUCCGUGACUGUGUGUGUGUCUGGCUGACCUUGGAUCAGUGAGAGGACGGAUCAGAGACAGACGACAGACCAGGAAGGAGGAGCAGCCAUUCAUCUUCAUGUCCACACACCGGUCUGGACAAACAAGCCCCGGGAAACAAAGCAGCGAGCGCACACACACCUUUUCUUUAGGUGAAGUCUCCACCCACCGGUCUCCCCCUCCAGCUGUGUCCCACUGUCACCGCGUGGACGUGAGGACGGAUGUUUGGGGGACAAACCUCAGAUGGGCGGAGCCAGAGAAGCAGGUGCACAG